rnacentral:lncRNA from 1 species
UUUUAAUAUUACAUAUGUGUGCAAUCCGUUGUGUCCGACUCUGCAACUUCAUGAACUGCUCCUCUGUCUAUGGAAUUUUUCAGGUGUUUGCCACUGGAAUAACUUGGAGUCAGCCGGCCGUGUAUGCUACUUUCUGCCAAAGACUUUUGGGCCAUGGGGUUUCUUCACUACAAAAUACACUGCCGAAAGAUAACAGCAACAGAAGUCAUGUCAUGAAGCCGAGGAUCACUGGGGGAAAUGCGAAUCCACAGGCCUUCAGAUCUGAGGCAGCAUUCUCAAAUGCUGAAGUCAUCUCCUAUCCACCCGAGGCCCUCAGAUCUGCACAUCGAUGUAUGAAAUUGGAGGCUAAUAUGCAGGCUUUUCUGGAAGAGUUGAAGGAGGCGUUACUGAGUCAUAUAUGCCAGUUGCACACAAAUCCACCAUCUGAGGAAAACCUCCCUGUUGAUCGUCUUCCCUCUGAAAGUGGCCGCAGCUCAUCACAUGAGCUUUGCAGAAGAAAUUAGCCUGCUGUACCCGUCACCAAACAAAGGCAGAAAGAAUGAGUCCUUCCUAUCCCAGAGCAAUUGUGCUUAGUCUGUAUGGCUUGGGUGGAGUUUCCUUCCACCUCCCAUCCCACAAGAAAAGUCACGUGGCCUGGCCUUCAUCAGUUCCAGCAGGUAUUCCAAGAUUCUUUGCAGUGAUUGGCUCAGAGAUAUGUAGCAAUUGUUGACAUUUGGAGUUUCUUGACUCUCUUUGAUUGCAACUUUCUGUGCCCUGUUGCAAUAAAAUUCAGUUAAUACAGUAAUUAGUAUUCUGU